GUCGAACGAACUCUGGUAUUGAUUGGUGCUUGCAUCAUGAUUUACAUUUGAGUGAGUGGCGAACUGGUGAGUAACACGUGGGAAACCUGCCCAGAAGCGGGGGAUAACACCUGGAAACAGAUGCUAAUACCGCAUAACAACUUGGACCGCAUGGUCCGAGUUUGAAAGAUGGCUUCGGCUAUCACUUUUGGAUGGUCCCGCGGCGUAUUAGCUAGAUGGUGAGGUAACGGCUCACCAUGGCAAUGAUACGUAGCCGACCUGAGAGGGUAAUCGGCCACAUUGGGACUGAGACACGGCCCAAACUCCUACGGGAGGCAGCAGUAGGGAAUCUUCCACAAUGGACGAAAGUCUGAUGGAGCAACGCCGCGUGAGUGAAGAAGGGUUUCGGCUCGUAAAACUCUGUUGUUAAAGAAGAACAUAUCUGAGAGUAACUGUUCAGGUAUUGACGGUAUUUAACCAGAAAGCCACGGCUAACUACGUGCCAGCAGCCGCGGUAAUACGUAGGUGGCAAGCGUUGUCCGGAUUUAUUGGGCGUAAAGCGAGCGCAGGCGGUUUUUUAAGUCUGAUGUGAAAGCCUUCGGCUCAACCGAAGAAGUGCAUCGGAAACUGGGAAACUUGAGUGCAGAAGAGGACAGUGGAACUCCAUGUGUAGCGGUGAAAUGCGUAGAUAUAUGGAAGAACACCAGUGGCGAAGGCGGCUGUCUGGUCUGUAACUGACGCUGAGGCUCGAAAGUAUGGGUAGCAAACAGGAUUAGAUACCCUGGUAGUCCAUACCGUAAACGAUGAAUGCUAAGUGUUGGAGGGUUUCCGCCCUUCAGUGCUGCAGCUAACGCAUUAAGCAUUCCGCCUGGGGAGUACGGCCGCAAGGCUGAAACUCAAAGGAAUUGACGGGGGCCCGCACAAGCGGUGGAGCAUGUGGUUUAAUUCGAAGCUACGCGAAGAACCUUACCAGGUCUUGACAU
rnacentral:rRNA from 1 species